rnacentral:lncRNA from 1 species
UUAUUUUUGUAAGUUUGCUGGUCUUUUGAUACAUGAUAAGAUAUAUGCUAUGAAUGACCAACUUUACAUUCUAAUACAUGAUAAGAUAUAUGCUAUGAAUGACCAACUUUACAUUCUAAGUAGAAAUCUUCAAGUCAUAUUCAUCUUCCUUAUACAUCUAUAUUUUCCGUUUGCAGACAUCUAUCUUCUUUCUUCAUAGUUUCAAAGUCCAGUUCUUAGAUAAAAGAAUACACACCGGUGGUAGACAACCCUCUGCUUUCUGCCUAACCAUAAUUUCUCUUCUGCUUACAGAGCAAGUUCCUUUUGCAGUAAAGGAUUUGUAUGUGUGAGUUUCCUGCUCGUUUUAAUUUUUAGUUUUCUUCAUUUAUAUGAGAUGAAUCAAUUUGAUUGAAUAAAACUAUUAAACUACUACUGAUAUGGAUUGUGGAAUGUGAAUUGAAUAGGAUUGUUUCUUCCUUUCUGUGCAUCUGCUUUUACUAUUGUGUAUAUUGUGUUUUUGCAAAAGAUAUAUUGAUGUCAUCUGUACACCUUACUUCUAGUGCACAUAAAGAAUCUCAUUAAUAGGAGUAGCUACUCUCACAAGUUAAAGUAGUAAUUAGUAAGUAACAAACUAGAAAGCUGAAUAUCCCAUAUCCCAAGUUAAAGUAGUAAUUAGUAAGUAACUCAGACUGCUUGAAAAAUGAGGCCAGGGGGCAAGUUCGUGGCCUGGGUUCCCAUGGUGACAUAUUGUCUUACUUGAGAGAUAUGCAAAACAGGGUGAACAUGAUCUACUUGAAUGAAAUAAAUAACUCUUGAAUAUGCGACUAUCAAAGAGUUUAGAGUUUAGAAGUAUAUAACGAGAAAAUUUCUCUAUUUAAAUUUAUAUUGUGUAUAAAUACUAACAGUUAAUCCUUGUUAAUCCUAAGGCAUAGAAACUUAAAACAACUUGAGAUAGAAAUGGAUUUUACCAGUACCAUACAAAUCUGCACAUAAUUGGAAUUUGCUUCUGACUACAAGACAAAAUUCAUGUUUCAAUGAAUGUUGUUAUUUCGGUCAAGAGAAAUAUCAAUGAGUAAUAUACCAUUAAUGUCGACUAUAGGUUUUGUGUCGUUCCAUGCCUACAUUCGCAACUACAAAUCAUUAUCAAACCAAAAAACCAUCAAGAAAUUCUUUUCAAUCAAAGAUAUCAAAUUUCAAAACACUAAAUCUACUUACAUUUAUAACCUUCAUAUUUUGUGCAAUCCAUCAUUGUGAAUCCAACUAAAAUACAGAAUCAACCUUCAAAAUGUAAUAAAUAUUGAUUAACUCAAUUGACUUAGUGAACAAACCAUGAUGAAGAAUCUUAACUACUACUUCCCAUGAACACGUGAUUCCAAUGCAAAUAGAGUGAUAAACUCCCCACGUUUAUGCAUCUUUUAGAGUAAGUGACUAAAUUUCAAAGCAAUAACUAUGUCACCAAAGAAAAAUAUCAGAAAUUUUAGAAAUGAAAACCAAUGAAAUAAGAAAAGGUAAAUGAUUAUGACGUUACCUGGCUAUGGUGGAGAUUAUAUACAUUGUGACAUCAUCCAAAAUAGACAGAUAAAAGUUGCUUGAUUAAAUAGAAAAUUGCUCAUGCUUCUACGAUAAUCAGUAAGUUUGUGAAGAACACUUCUCAGUCUGCAGCUCAAUGGAGCAGUACUAAUUCUAGAGGGAUGGUGAGAUUAUGCCUAGCUUUUCCGUCACAUUCAUGACUUCAGAUUCUCUGCUGGAUUUUUUAGUGCUAACCUAUGCUAAACAUUAAAAUUAUAUUAAUGUAUUUUGAAGACACAGCAUAAAAACAACACAAAACAACCUAAUGGAGAAUCCAAACUCUACCUUAUAUAAAACCCGUAAAAUUGCCCCUCCUUGUUUCAUUCACAUUUAGUAGCCCCUUAAAAGAUCCAUGCAUGAACGGCUGUUUUGGGUUUAGUGUUUACAUUGCGUCAUUUUGCAGGACUUAGAGAAGUCAUUGAAAGAAAAAUAAUGACUCGAAAGAAAUAUAUUAUGCACCAUGUAACUAAAUGAAUUUUCUCUUAUUUUUCAAACUCAUCAUAUUCCUUCUUUUUUUCAUUCCAUACUUUUCCAUUAUGUUUUGCUUUACAUCGAUCUCAAAAUAUAAAGAAACUAUCCCUUUUUCGCAUGGUCAUGAAAAUAAAGUUUAAUAGUAUUUCUCAGUUUAAAGGUAGUUCAAAAGUAUUUGCACACAUGGACUAUGUAUGUGUUUAGACAUAUUGGACCACUUUUUUUCCUUUUCUCAUUGAGAUGAUUAAUUCAUGAACCAUGCAAUUCCAUAAGUUGGAACAACUGUGUCACCCCCACAGUGGUUAAAAUCAAGAUUUAACUUGUAAAAUUGUCCUAUCCAUGAUUUUGCAUAGUAUAACCGAUUCAAAUAUCACGCAUGACCAUGACAUAGCAAAAUCGAACGGAUUGUCAAACAAAAUCGUGAAAUUAUGUAAAUCAACAUUUCUCCUAUAUUGUUUCAUUGUUCACCAUCUAAGGUGAAUGGAUUUGGUUCAAUUAAAACCUAAAACUAAUUAAAAGUUAAUAUGAUUAAAAUUUCACCCUGUUAUUUGUGUUGUUAGCAGCAAAAAUACCCAAUUAACAGUUAAUGCAAUUAGAAUUCACGUUUUUUUUGCAGCCAAAAAACCGAAGUAGUAAUCACCACGGAAGCAUGCAACAGAGCCUCAAAUCACAGACAUUGAAACAAAACCACAAAAUAAAAUUCGAAAAAAAAAAAAUAGAGAAAGCAAGAAACAGUUAUUCAUCAUUUAGUCGAGGAAAAAACCUAGCAACAACGUCACCAUUGAUUACAGUAGCUAGCAACAACAUCACCAUAGAGAAAGCAAGAAACUUAUUCAUUAUCAAGCUUAGGAAAAAAGUGAAGACUCACUUGGCUUUGGGUUUAGGGUUUUGUCCUCGAGUAAAUGGAACCGCGAUUCUGGGUGGAUGAAAGAUAGCGGACGGGCGGCGGGUCUCCGGCGGCAGUGGUGGCCGGUGGGCACGAGAUGGUCACAGGCGGUGGUGGCUGGCUCUCAAACGCGUCGUCGACCGAAUGGAACCGCGAUUCUGGGUGGAGAGAAGAGCGCGGAAGGGCGACGGGUCUUCGCCGGCGGCAGUCCGGCGGCAGUGAUGGCCGGUCGGAAAGAGAUGGUCACAGGCGGUGGUGGCUGGUUCUCGAACCGGUUCGCUUCUCCCAAGUGUCGAAUGCCAAAAUUUAAGAAUCACAUUUCAAAUUCAAAAUCUCCCCUUUCU